rnacentral:lncRNA from 1 species
CUGAUAUAGCCCUGAGAUGUGUCUUUGGCCACGUUUUCAGCCUGGCCAUGUAUCUGACCACAUGGUCUUAGACUGGUCAGAGAAACCUGCCAGCAGGUUUCAAAGGAAGAAAAUACAUUUCUUUUCUGUCUUGAGGCAUGAACAGGGAGCUCCUGAGGAUCAAGAGCAUUCAGGAGGACACAGCUGUCGGUGCAGAAGUCAGCCUUCAAAACCGUUUGAAAUCCACAUGACAGCAUUGCAGGACUGUGACAAAAAUGUGAUCUUCCAGACAGUCACAGAAGACAGGGCUGUGUGGACAGUUAGACGUAGGGGUAACUCAGGACUUGGGAGGGAUCUGUGCUGAGACAAGUAAGAGGAUGACCAACAUGGAGAUUGGAGGCGAUUCUCAGAAAGUAUCAGUGGGGAAAGCACUCUGGACAUCACAGGGGCUUUGGGGAAAAAUCCACACUUUGGAAGGAGCACAGAUAUCACUGAACCAAGCUGCUAUGGAUUUUCAGUUCACGCACAUUAAGAUCAACUCUGUUUUUGACACCCAAAUUUCUCGAUGAAAUCUUCAGAUGGCAAAAAUCAGGAUGACUCCAAUGAAGCUGAUGGCACACUAUCAAUAAACUGAUGUAUCUUAGUCUUUGAUCUUCUACU